UCCUUUGCUGGUAAGCUCUUAAAAAUUUUCUUUUCAUUUUUUCCCUUGCCCGUUUGGCAAACUUAAAACUUUUUUUUCGAGGAAAAUGCUAUUCCUUUCUAGUAACUGUUUCUUUUGCUACGUGGUGCUAUCCUUGUUUGUUAAUUGCGACUUCGAACGACCGGUGUGACCAUACCAACACAAGCUACAGAUCAGUAAUGAAAGUUGGAAACAAGGUGUAAAAACCCUGUUAAGCUUCGUAUUGAGUUAUAUGAGCUUGAUUCAGGGUUGGUUCACCCAUGCAUCAGUCUCAAGGGGCUGCCUUGUACCAGAUCACACUAAAAGGGUUGAACAUGCAAUUGCGCACCCCUGGAUACUUGUUUAUGACUACACAAGUUCCUAUUGGAGGGUUAAAUAUGUCCGAGUACUAUGGAUCUAUUACCGAUCACAUUGCUUUGAUCUUAAAAUAUGCUGAUACAGUUUAUCCUUUCAGCAGAAGACAUUAGAGAAUUUCAAGAACAUUAUCCAUUAUCUUCGCCACAGGUAUCGUUUCUUUCUCCAUUAAUAAUAAUGGCUUCUUCUUUCUCAGAUAGUUUAGUUUGCAGUGAGAGAUAUGGGAUGAUUAUGCUGUUAACGUACUCUUGAAGGCAUGCCAUAAUACACAGAAAUAUUGAUGCAGACCUGGAAAUCUUGUUCUUCUUUCCUUCACCUUUCUAAUUAUAUUUCCUUUCCCCACCGGGAUUCUUCAGUUACUUUUUGUAAUCAAGGAUAAACAAAUUUGGAUGAGACCUACAUGAUUUUUCUUUAAUUCCUUAUUUCCUUUUGAACUGUCUUAUAAUCUUUUAGUCCUCUGUUGCAAAUAAUCUAAAUUGAAUUACAUAUUAACAAAUGCAUAUGAUCAGGCAAUGGGGCAUUAGCUUCUGUAAAAAAUUGUAUGUCUUUUACUUUCAAGGCUGAUCACACUCUCACAUGUUCGUAUUCUAAUUAAAAUUUCUGCUGUUAUUUGAUAGUUACUUCUUCUGUAGAGAUGGCUAUGUCAACAAAAAACAACUGAAUGCCUAGAUAUUGUGAUGUUCUAGAACAACUCAAAUAGAUAAACUUGGAAACUUCUGCUAGAGAAAAUGUUUUGAUCCAUAUGAAUUUAAUGCAGUUCUU
rnacentral:lncRNA from 1 species